UCGCCAUCCUCAGGCGUUGGAGCUCCGAUUUCAGGGCGUCGUUCAGAGCUGCAACAAGAACAUCAAACAGUAAGGCUCUUGAACCGUGUUAUUUGCACGACAUAAACUCUGAUCGUCGCUUGAGCUCGGUUCCUUUCCCUGGGAUAUCCAUGGGAGAACAAGGGUGCAAAAAUAGUCAAAUGGUCACGGUUCAUGAAAAAAACUAUUUUCUGAAUCACCUCCUCCCAUUUAGAUCUUAGACUGAUGACAAAAUAAACUCAAUUAUGGCAAAAUGAAGGAGGUGAAACGCAGCAAGAAUAAUGAGUAGAACAACUAAAUUUACCAUCUUGUAAGUGAACUUGUUGCUCCACGUUCUGCAGCCGCAUCUUCAGCUCACUAUUCUCGGUAGAGAGCCCAGCAGUGUCUCUCUGUUUGUUUAUCAAUGUAACAAAUCCUCAUUGAAAAUAGUAAAUACAAAAACAAAAGAGCCUAUUGCAUCAGAUCAGCCAAAUGAUUGUUCUCUUUUGCCGGGACAUAUGAGCAGUUGAUUUGAGUUACUCUUUCAUAACUUUAUACAACACAACAAUGAAAUACUAUGACAUGUCUACCUGUUGAAAGUAGCAUGACUUGCUUAGAUAGCAAAAAUCAAGAUAGUUACUACACUGAAAAUUACAUGAGAGCACAUGCAUGAUCCAUGUGGAUAGAGUAUUCUUGCAUUAGAUUGUGUAGUUAUUUCCUAGUUCCUACUGUCCAAAGCAAGUUGAAUAAAGAUUCAAAGUACCGAUCAAAACAAAUAAUCAAGCAACGCUAGUGUAUAUCCUUCUACAUAUUUUCUUGUUAAUAUAUUCUCUGUUGGAGCUCUCCUACAAGUUUCUUUCAAAAAAUGCAGACUGCACUUAAGUAUAGUUCGAGAUGUGAAAGAACAAUAUUUUCUUUGCCCUUUGAAAACAUCAAAACAAAGGCAACAGAGGUAUCAAAAAUCAAACGGAGCCAUUCUUACAUGUAGCAGUGCCAGCUGGGUGGACAAUGUUGUUGCUU
rnacentral:lncRNA from 1 species